GAGGGUAUAGCUCAAGUGGUAGAGCACUUGUCUAGCAGGCACAAGGUCCUGGGUUCAAUCCCCAGUACCUCCU
rnacentral:tRNA from 1 species